UAAGGAAUAUUGGUCAAUGGGCGCAAGCCUGAACCAGCCAUGCCGCGUGCAGGAAGACGGCCCUAUGGGUUGUAAACUGCUUUUGUCAGGGAAUAAACCCCCGCUCGUGAGCGGGGCUGAAGGUACUGAAGAAUAAGCAUCGGCUAACUCCGUG
rnacentral:rRNA from 1 species